rnacentral:lncRNA from 1 species
ACAGACAAAGAACAGAUACAAAAAGCGUGAGAGAAAAAGAAAGGAAAGAGAAUUUGGCGAAUGUGAAGUAUCACCACUCUAUAGUUUUAACAAAAAUUUCACUUCCUUACGCUGCUUUGCUUCAAAGCUUAGAAGCAAUUUCAACAAAUGAAGAUAAUCUUGUUCCCAUUUAAAUGUUGAUCUCUUCCUAUCUGCAUUAAAGAUGUCUAUCAUAUGAAGAAGUUGAUGCCAAAACAAAGAUAGUUGUUACAGAAACUAAGCACAGUUUUAGCUAGUGUUUUACUGCUUAAAAAAAAAAGUGUCUAGAAAUUGUUUUUGAGUAGUCAGUUCUCCAUUCUCGUCCAAAGGCUGAAGCUCCCCCUUCCCGCCCCUCCCCACCACGCACUUUUUAGUUCAAAUGCUCAUUUCUCUGGAGAUUAUGUGACAAAUGAGGUUGGGGUGGAUGAGAAGUGAUUUAGCUACCUCUAAAGAUUAUUUUCUCUGGUGCAUCCAAAUUGUCUAAAAUAUUUUUUUUCCUUAGGAAAUAGAUUUGGGUUUAUUUUAUACAGAGGAGGAAAUUCUGAAAAAAAAAAAAAGAAGAAAAGAAAAAAGAAGCACAUGUCAAAAGAUAAAAUAGUGCAGCAGAAGGAUUCAUUGCCUAGAGCCUGGUCUCAAGAGCCUCAGGAAACUUCCAUUUGAAUAGGAGUUUUUAAGAAGCCUGGUAAACAUGACAGCAAAAGGUACAGCUGACCCACACAGAGGAAUUGUCUUCCUCUAUCUUCGCAAAGUGAACGGCUACUUCUAGCAUUACAAGCGUAAGUUUUUGUUUUGUUCUAGCAUUU